CCUACGGGAGACAGCAGUGAGGGAUAUUGGUCAAUGGGGGAAACCCUGAAGCAGCAACGCCGCGUGGGGGAAGACGGUUUUCGGCUCGUAAACCCCUGUCCUCUGUGAAGAAGAUGACGGUAGCAGAGGAGGAAGCCCCGGCUAACUACGUGCCAGCAGCCGCGGUAAUACGUAGGGAGCAAGCGUUGUCCGGAUUUACUGGGUGUAAAGGGUGCGCAGGCGGCUAUGCAAGCCAGAAGUGAAAUCCAUGGGCUUAACCCAGGGACUGCUUUUGAAACUGCAGGGCUUGAGGAGAGGAGGGGUAGGCGGAAUUCCCGGUGUAGCGGUGAAAUGCGUAGAGAUCGGGAGGAACACCAGUGGCGAAGGCGGCCUGCUGGGCUCUGACUGACGCUGAGGCACGAAGGCGUGGGUAGCAAACAGGAUUAGAUACCCUUGUAGUC
rnacentral:rRNA from 1 species